rnacentral:misc_RNA from 1 species
UUAAGUUCAGCGGGUAUCCCUGCCUGAUCCGAGGUCAACCUGAAGAAAUUGGGGGUUGCUGGCAGGCACGCGCCCAGGCCUCCAGGGCGAGAAGAGUUACUGCGCUCGGGGCCGGACGGCACCGCCACUGACUUUAGGGCCCGCCACGCGGCGGGGCCCAACACCAAGCUAGGCUUGAGGGUUGUAAUGACGCUCGGACA